AGAAAAUGAUAUAAUAGUUAUUUCUUCUAUUUUCUUUUUAGGGAGAAAUUGCAUUUCUCUCCGAUUCUAAUAAUCUAUCUAAAUAAUAUUCUUUUCUUUUCUUUUCUCUUUAUUUCUCUUGUUUAAUUUUUCUCCAAUUCCCUUGCAUAAUUGAGGAUCCAAACAUAGGGUUAAAGACUAACAUCCUUCAAGUGAAAUUGUCUAUUUCCUUUCUUCCCUCUUGAAAAUUCCUCUCUUUUCUGUUUGAUUGCACAUAGUUAAAUAUUUUCCAUCAAAGGAGGAUUGUGGAACAGAAACAAUCUUAAGUUAUUUCCAUAAGUUCACAAAUCGCUGUACUAUCCAUAGCUUCUUGUUUUGCUCUAUUUUGAUAGGUUUUUGUGAUUCAAAUGCACCAUCUUUAUUUUUUUUUUCUGUCGGCCUCCAGCAGUAAUUCUCUAUUUUAUACCUUAUACAAAUGAAUCUAAUAAUCCCAUUCCCUCUCAUGCUUGGUUGGAUACAGAAUUUUUUGGCACUAUGUGCUAGUGGUUAUUAUGAUGGAACCAUAUUUCACCGAAAUAUUAAAGGUUUUAUGAUUCAAGGUGGAGAUCCAACCAGUACAGGCAAAGGGGGGACCAGUAUAUGGGGCAAGAAGUUCAAUGACGAGAUCAGAGAGUCUCUUAAGCAUAAUGCAAGGGGUACACUGUCAAUGGCCAACAGUGGACCUAACACUAAUGGAAGCCAGUUUUUUAUAACCUAUGCAAAGCAACCCCAUCUCAACGGGUUAUACACUGUAUUUGGCAGAGUAAUUCAUGGCUUUGAAGUGCUUGAUCUCAUGGAGAAGACUCAAACAGGACCAGGUGAUCGACCUCUUGCAGAGAUAAGGAUCAAUAGAGUGACGAUACAUGCUAAUCCACUUGCUGGCUAGUUGCAUCUCAGAAUGUCUGUUUGGGUAGCAUUGUGAUGACUUGUUGGCAUGUUUUUAACAUUAAUUUUGGGAUUGGAUUGAAUACAUAGAGAAAGUGAGACUGCUGAUGCUACCUGUAGUUUAAUGUAAAGCAACAUUUUGGUAAAUCUAGAAAUGUAACUUUUGAAGUUUUUUAUUUUUUUUUUAAAUUAUGUAUUAUUUGAAGUUGGUUUUCUUGUUUUAUGACACAUUAUUUGAAGUUAUUAAACGUUUAUGGUAUGAUAUAAGAGCUCAAUUGUACAUG
rnacentral:misc_RNA from 1 species